GGUCAGAGGGAUUCGCUCCACAUACAGAUGGCUCACAGUAUGAAAAUGGUAUGUGUAUAACAGGAUCUCGCUAUUGAGGUAAUUUCUUACUUCUUAAAUGCUGUGAACACUUAUACGUGAACAGAUCUUAUAUUCUUGCAUCAGGGGAAACAGCUUAUGAUGGAUCUCAAAUCGAGUCUCCAGGUGAUAAACAUCAAAGCUUACAUGCAGCUUACCAAAUAUUUUCUGUUAAAUGAUAAUUGAUGUCAUAAUCAUGUAAGUUUUAUCUUGUGCAUUUAGAAAUCCCUGAGAUAGAAUCUAACGGUAAUGGACACAAACAACUACUGAAUGGAGGAGAAACAGGAUUUACAGGCUUGGAUCAUUUCAUGCCAGGCACAUCUCAGAUACAGGGAGCCGGUGGUUUUGAUUCAUUUGGCACAAGCCCUCAGCUGGAAAUUACAGGCAUAAUAGAUCAGUCAAGCCAUGACUUCCUUGUUGGCUUAAUGGGUGGAAUAGGAGAGACCUUUGGUCCAGACACUCAAACAGACGGGCUAGGUACGCUUUUAGACCUCUUAGACACUCCUCCAGACGUUCCACCCACAUGCCUAGUAACUGACGCUGUCUCAACAGAUCACAUGGGACUCGCAUUUCAGGUGGAUUCAGCAGCUGCUGGUCUGAGUCCAGGGCACCCGUCCAGUGGCGGUCCAGUUCUAGACGCUCCUCCAGACUCUCCCGGACCAGAUUACCUGUUUGUUGACAAUGGGAACGGUGAUUAUACCCAUUCAAUCAGUAUGUCUGAUAAUGGAGCCCAAUCAAAACCACCAGCUGAUACAACAGAUUCAUCUGUAGUCUUUGACACAAUGUCACAUCUGGGUCAUUCCUUUAUAGACUAUUCAGGUAAGAUAACUAUUCUAGCAAUAAGGCCUCAUUUGUUAAAGAAAUAG
ensembl:lncRNA